rfam:Hordeum vulgare subsp. vulgare, WGS project CAJW01000000 data, contig: morex_contig_1865418
AUGAUACUCCCUUCGACCCAAAAUUCUUGUCUUAGCUUUGUCNNNNAAUGGAUGUAUCUAAAUACUAAAUCUGACUAGAUACAUUCGUAUCUAAACAAAUAUAAGACAAGAAUUUUGGGACGAAGGGAGUACUUU